CUCUCCACGGCAUCGAAGCAGAGGAGGGCUGUGGAGGCGCAGAGAGAGGUCUGCUGACUCUAAGCUGCAUCCUAUUUGCAACUUUGCUAAAGGCUGGCCUUGAACCCAGGAAAGGUGGCUGAGUUGUUCCUGGAAAGAAGGCCAGCAAAGUCCAGAGACCUGGCAAGGCCGGCGACCUCCUCCCGUGCAGACUGUCAUCUGCGUGCCCUGAGGAAAGGCCAUGUGAGGAUACGGUGAGAAGACCGCUGUCUAUAGGAAGCCAGGAAGAGAGGUCUCACCAGAAAGCAACCUCACUGGCACCUUGAUCUUGGACUUCCAGCCUCC